rnacentral:rRNA from 1 species
GACGAACGCUGGCGGCGUGCUUAACACAUGCAAGUCGAACGAAGAGCGAUGGAAGCUUGCUUCUAUCAAUCUUAGUGGCGAACGGGUGAGUAACGCGUAAUCAACCUGCCCUUCAGAGGGGGACAACAGUUGGAAACGACUGCUAAUACCGCAUACGAUCUAAUCUCGGCAUCGAGGAUAGAUGAAAGGUGGCCUCUACAUGUAAGCUAUCACUGAAGGAGGGGAUUGCGUCUGAUUAGCUAGUUGGAGGGGUAACGACCCACCAAGGCGAUGAUCAGUAGCCGGUCUGAGAGGAUGAACGGCCACAUUGGGACUGAGACACGGCCCAGACUCCUACGGGAGGCAGCAGUGGGGAAUCUUCCGCAAUGGACGAAAGUCUGACGGAGCAACGCCGCGUGAGUGAUGACGGCCUUCGGGUUGUAAAGCUCUGUUAAUCGGGACGAAAGGCCUUCUUGCGAAUAGUGAGAAGGAUUGACGGUACCGGAAUAGAAAGCCACGGCUAACUACGUG